rnacentral:rRNA from 1 species
UGAACGCUGGCGGCGUGCUUAAUACAUGCAAGUCGAACGAAGCGCUACAGCCGAGUCCCUUCGGGUGAAGCAGUUGUGACUAGUGGCGGACGGGUGAGUAACGCGUGGGUAACCUGCCUUAUGCAGGGGGAUAACAGUUAGAAAUGACUGCUAAUACCGCAUAAGCGCACAGCACCGCAUGAUGCAGUGUGAAAAAGAUUUAUCGGCAUAAGAUGGACCCGCGUCUGAUUAGGUAGUUGGUGAGGUAACGGCCCACCAAGCCUGCGAUCAGUAGCCGACUUGAGAGAGCGAUCGGCCACAUUGGGACUGAGACACGGCCCAGACUCCUACGGGAGGCAGCAGUAGGGAAUAUUGCACAAUGGGGGAAACCCUGAUGCAGCGAACCGCCGCGUGAGUGAUUGAAGCAUUUCGGUGCGUAAAGCUCUAUCAGCAGGGAAGAUAAUGACGGUACCUGACUAAGAAGCCCCGGCUAACUACGUGCCAGCCGCUGC